rfam:Schistosoma haematobium scaffold998_74, whole genome shotgun sequence.
AUGCAGCUGACGUGUCUUAAAUAACACGAAACGCGCGUCUUGGAU